UUGAAUCCAGUAUUUGGUAAUAAGUGUACAAGUGUAACAAGGUGGGGAAAAAAUACUCCAAAAAUUAUCAAAACAUUUUUGUUAAGUUGUUAUACCCUGUGUGAGCAAAGUCAUUAACUAGCAUGUUCGGAAAAGAACAAAUCCUCUCCAGGUCAAAAUGGCUGGAACACAACAUGAGGGUUAACACCUAUUCACCUCUUGAAUGUGUAUCGACCAUCUCUAAGGGUCGCCAAAGUUCAUACAUCUGCUGUUCCAAGGGCACGCUCUUUCCAGCUGGAGGUUAACGGCAUUUACUGAAGGAAUUGCUGUGUUGUGCUUCAGUUGAAGUGAAGUGUGUACUUGACUCUUUGAUGGCUCUCACAAGCUGUUUGGACUCUCUUUGACGGCACCUAUUCACUGUAGAGGAUCCACUGGUGAGCAAGUGAUGG